AAGUGAGAAUGCCGGUGUGAGUAGCGAAAGACGGGUGAGAAUCCCGUCCACCGAUUGACUAAGGUUUCCAGAGGAAGGCUCGUCCGCUCUGGGUUAGUCGGGUCCUAAGCUGAGGCCGACAGGCGUAGGCGAUGGAUAACAGGUUGAUAUUCCUGUACCACCUAUAAUCGUUUUAAUCGAUGGGGGGACGCAGUAGGAUAGGCGAAGCGUGCGAUUGGAUUGCACGUCUAAGCAGUAAGGCUGAGUAUUAGGCAAAUCCGGUACUCGUUAAGGCUGAGCUGUGAUGGGGAGAAGACAUUGUGUCUUCGAGUCGUUGAUUUCACACUGCCGAGAAAAGCCUCUAGAUAGAAAAUAGGUGCCCGUACCGCAAACCGACACAGGUAGUCAAGAUGAGAAUUCUAAGGUGAGCGAGCGAACUCUCGUUAAGGAACUCGGCAAAAUGACCCCGUAACUUCGGGAGAAGGGGUGCUCUUUAGGGUUAACGCCCAGAAGAGCCGCAGUGAAUAGGCCCAAGCGACUGUUUAUCAAAAACACAGGUCUCUGCUAAACCGUAAGGUGAUGUAUAGGGGCUGACGCCUGCCCGGUGCUGGAAGGUUAAGAGGAGUGGUUAGCUUCUGCGAAGCUACGAAUCGAAGCCCCAGUAAACGGCGGCCGUAACUAUAACGGUCCUAAGGUAGCGAAAUUCCUUGUCGGGUAAGUUCCGACCCGCACGAAAGGCGUAACGAUUUGGGCACUGUCUCAACGAGAGACUCGGUGAAAUCAUAGUACCUGUGAAGAUGCAGGUUACCCGCGACAGGACGGAAAGACCCCGUGGAGCUUUACUGUAGCCUGAUAUUGAAAUUCGGCACAGCUUGUACAGGAUAGGUAGGAGCCUUUGAAACGUGAGCGCUAGCUUACGUGGAGGCGCUGGUGGGAUACUACCCUAGCUGUGUUGGCUUUCUAACCCGCACCACUUAUCGUGGUGGGAGACAGUGUCAGGCGGGCAGUUUGACUGGGGCGGUCGCCUCCUAAAAGGUAAC
rnacentral:rRNA from 1 species